UUUAUGGAGACAACUUUGGGUCUUUGCGCCAUGAAAUGUUUUGUAAAAAAAACAUGCAAGUCUAUCAACUUCGACUCAAUGACUGGCAUAUGCGAAUUAAAUUCUGCUACGUUUGAAAAAAAAAGUCCAUGGUUCUUGAUGCCGAGUGAAAACUUUACUUACUACCCGAGACACAGCGAGAGUAAAGUGGACGAUUGUGGAGACUAUCAUAAAGAACAUAUUACGACAUUGAGUCACAGAGUCAACCAGAUAAUGCCACUACAAAA